rnacentral:rRNA from 1 species
UACGGGGGGAGCAAGCGUUGUUCGGAUUUACUGGGCGUAAAGGGCGGGUAGGCGGCCACCGCAAGUCGACUGUGAAAUCCUCCGGGCUUAACCCGGAAGGUCAGCCGAUACUGCGGGGCUAGAGUGCAGAAGGGGCAACUGGAAUUCUCGGUGUAGCGGUGAAAUGCGUAGAUAUCGAGAGGAACACCUGCGGCGAAGGCGGGUUGCUGGGCUGACACUGACGCUGAGGCGCGAAAGCUAGGGGGAGCGAACGGG